rnacentral:rRNA from 1 species
AUUGAACGCUGGCGGCAUGCCUUACACAUGCAAGUCGAACGGCAGCACGGGAGCAAUCCUGGUGGCGAGUGGCGAACGGGUGAGUAAUAUAUCGGAACGUGCCCAGUCGUGGGGAUAACGUAGCGAAAGCUACGCUAAUACCGCAUACGAUCUAUGGAUGAAAGCGGGGGGAUCGCAGACCUCGCGCGAUUGGAGCGGCCGAUAUCAGAUUAGGUAGUUGGUGAGGUAAAGGGCUCACCAAGCCGACGAUCUGUAGCUGGUCUGAGAGGACGACCAGCCACACUGGGACUGAGACACGGCCCAGACUCCUACGGGAGGC